UACGUAGGGUGCAAGCGUUAGUCGGAAUUACUGGGCGUAAAGCGUGCGCAGGCGGUUUUGUAAGACUGUCGUGAAAUCCCCGGGCUUAACCUGGGAAUUGCGAUGGUGACUGCAAGGCUAGAGUUUGGCAGAGGGGGGUAGAAUUCCACGUGUAGCAGUGAAAUGCGUAGAGAUGUGGAGGAACACCGAUGGCGAAGGCAGCCCCCUGGGUCAAAACUGACGCUCAUGCACGAAAGCGUGGGGAGCAAACAGG
rnacentral:rRNA from 1 species